rnacentral:rRNA from 1 species
AUUGAACGCUGGCGGCAGGCCUAACACAUGCAAGUCGAGCGGAUGAGGGAAGCUUGCUUCCUGAUUUAGCGGCGGACGGGUGAGUAAUGCCUAGGAAUCUGCCUAUUAGUGGGGGAUAACGUUCCGAAAGGAACGCUAAUACCGCAUACGUCCUACGGGAGAAAGUGGGGGAUCUUCGGACCUCACGCUAAUAGAUGAGCCUAGGUCGGAUUAGCUAGUUGGUGAGGUAACGGCUCACCAAGGCGACGAUCCGUAGCUGGUCUGAGAGGAUGAUCAGCCACACUGGAACUGAGACACGGUCCAGACUCCUACGGGAGGCAGCAGUGGGGAAUAUUGGACAAUGGGCGAAAGCCUGAUCCAGCCAUGCCGCGUGUGUGAAGAAGGUCUUCGGAUUGUAAAGCACUUUAAGUUGGGAGGAAGGGCUGUAAGCUAAUAUCUUGCAGCUUUGACGUUACCAACAGAAUAAGCACCGGCUAACUCUGUGCCAGCCGCCGCCGUAACAC